rnacentral:piRNA from 1 species
UUAAUUCCUGAAGUGAAAUCUCC